AGUGAACGCUGGCGGUAGGCCUAACACAUGCAAGUCGAACGGCAGCACAGUAAGAGCUUGCUCUUACGGGUGGCGAGUGGCGGACGGGUGAGGAAUACAUCGGAAUCUACUUUUUCGUGGGGGAUAACGUAGGGAAACUUACGCUAAUACCGCAUACGACCUACGGGUGAAAGCAGGGGAUCUUCGGACCUUGCGCGAUUGAAUGAGCCGAUGUCGGAUUAGCUAGUUGGCGGGGUAAAGGCCCACCAAGGCGAGGAUCCGUAGCUGGUCUGAGAGGAUGAUCAGCCACACUGGUACUGGGACACGGUCCAGACUCCUGCGGGGGGCAGCAGUGGGGAAUAUUGGACAAUGGGCGCAAGACUGAUCCAGCCAUACCGCGUGGGUGAAGAAGGCCUUCAGGUUGUAAAGCCCUUUUGUUGGGAAGGAAAAGCAGCAGGUUAAUACCCCGCUGUUCUGACGGUACCCAAAGAAUAAGCACCGGCUAACUUCGUGC
rnacentral:rRNA from 1 species